rnacentral:rRNA from 1 species
CUACGUGCCAGCAGCCGCGGUAAUACGGAAGGUUCGGGCGUUAUCCGGAUUUAUUGGGUUUAAAGGGAGCGUAGGCUGGAGAUUAAGUGUGUUGUGAAAUGUAGACGCUCAACGUCUGACUUGCAGCGCAUACUGGUUUCCUUGAGUACGCACAACGUUGGCGGAAUUCGUCGUGUAGCGGUGAAAUGCUUAGAUAUGACGAAGAACUCCGAUUGCGAAGGCAGCUGACGGGAGCGCAACUGACGCUGAAGCUCGAAGGUGCGGGUAUCGAACAGGAUUAGAUACCCUGGUAGUCCGCMCAGUAAACGAUGGAUGCCCGCUGUUGGUACCUGGUAUCAGCGGCUAAGCGAAAGCAUUAAGCAUCCCACCUGGGGAGUACGCCGGCAACGGUGAAACUCAAAGGAAUUGACGGGGGCCCGCACAAGCGGAGGAACAUGUGGUUUAAUUCGAUGAUACGCGAGGAACCUUACCCGGGCUUGAA